rnacentral:snoRNA from 1 species
CUACAAAGAUAUCAAUAUUUUUCAUCAACAGUUCACCUCAUGAGUUUUGAACCUUUGAGCCUGAGUAA